GACGAACGCUGGCGGCGUGCUUAACACAUGCAAGUCGAACGGAAAGGCCCUGCUUUUGUGGGGUGCUCGAGUGGCGAACGGGUGAGUAACACGUGAGUAACCUGCCCUUGACUUUGGGAUAACUUCAGGCAACUGGGGCUAAUACCUGAUAGGAGCUCCUGCUGCAUGGUGGGGGUUGGAACGUUUCGGCGGUUGGGGAUGGACUCGCGGCUUAUCAGCUUGUUGGUGGGGUAGUGGCUUACCAAGGCUUUGACGGGUAGCCGGCCUGAGAGGGUGACCGGGCACAUGGGGACUGAGAGACGGCCCAGACGGGUACGGGAGGCAGCAGGGGGGAAUAUGGCACAAUGGGCGGAAGCCUGAGGCAGCAACGCCGGGUGCGGGAUGACGGCCUUCGGGGUGGAAACCGCUGUCGCCUGUGACGAAGCGGGAGUGACGGUAAUGGGUAAAGAAGCACCGGCUAACUACGUG
rnacentral:rRNA from 1 species